AACGAACGCUGGCGGCAUGCCUAACACAUGCAAGUCGAACGAGACCUCCGGGCCUAGUGGCGCACGGGUGCGUAACGCGUGGGAAUCUACCCACAGGUUCGGCGUCUCUCAGAGAAAUUUGAGCUAAUACCGGUAAAUGACGUAAGUCACAAGAUUGAUCGGCUGAGGAUGGGCCCGCGUUGGAUUAGGUAGUUGGUGAGGUAAAGGCUCACCAAGGCGGCGAUGCUUAGCUGGUCUGAGAGGAGGAUCAGCCAGCCUGGGACUGAGACACGGCCCAGACUGCUACGGGAGGGAGCAGAGGGGAAUAUUGGGCAAGGGGCGAAAGCCUGAUGCAGCAAUGUCGCGUGAGUGAUGAAGGCCUUAGGGUUGUAAAGCUCGUUUAGCCGGGAUGAUAAUGACAGUACCGGGAGAAUAAGCACCGGCUAACUACGUG
rnacentral:rRNA from 1 species